rnacentral:rRNA from 1 species
GACGAACGCUGGCGGCGUGCCUAACACAUGCAAGUCGAGCGGGGUCCAACCGGUGGCAACACCGGGGACGACCUAGCGGCGAACGGGUGAGUAUCACGUGAGAAACCUGCCCCGAAGUCUGGGAUAACCCGGGGAAACUCGGGCUAAUACCGGAUGCCCUUCACAGAUCGCAUGGUCAAUGAAGGAAAGAAUUUCGCUUCGGGAGGGUCUCGCGGCCUAUCAGCUAGUUGGUGGGGUAACGGCCUACCAAGGCAUCGACGGGUAGCUGGUCUGAGAGGACGAUCAGCCACACUGGGACUGAGACACGGCCCAGACUCCUACGGGUGGCUG